AACGAACGCUGGCGGCAUGCCUAACACAUGCAAGUCGAACGAAGCCUUCGGGCUUAGUGGCGCACGGGUGCGUAACGCGUGGGAAUCUGCCCUUGGGUUCGGAAUAACAGUUAGAAAUGACUGCUAAUACCGGAUGAUGUCUUCGGACCAACGAUUUAUCGCACAAGGAUGUGCCCGCGUCGGAUGAGGUAGUUGGUGGGGUAAUGGACCACCAAGCCGACGAUCCUUAGCUGGUCUGAGAAGAUGAUCAGCCACACUGGGACUGAGACACGGCCCAGAGUCCUACGGGAGGCAGCAGUGGGGAAUAUUGGACAAUGGGCGAAAGCCUGAUCCAGCAAUGCCGCGUGAGUGAUGAAGGCCUUAGGGUUGUAAAGCUCUUUACCAGGGAUGAUAAUGACAGUACCUGGAGAAUAAGCUCCGGCUAACUCCGUGCCAGCAGCCGCAGUAA
rnacentral:rRNA from 1 species